rnacentral:rRNA from 1 species
GUGUCAGCCGCCGCGGUAAUACCAGCUCUCCGAGUGGUGGGGACGUUUAUUGGGCCUGAAGCAUCCGUAGCCAGCUGAGCAAGUCCCCAGUUAAAUCCAGCGAUUUAAUCGUUGGACUGCUGGGGAUACUGUCCGGCUAGGGGGUGGGAGAGGCCGACGGUAUUCCCGGGGUAGGGGUGAAAUCCUAUAAUCCCGGGAGGACCACCAGUGGCGAAGGCUGUUGGCUAGAACAUGCCCGACGGUGAGGGAUGAAAGCUGGGGGAGCGAACCGGAUUAGAUACCCGGGUAGUCCCAGCUGUAAACGAUGCAGGCUAGGUGUUAGGGCGGCCACGUGCCGCUCUAGUGCCGCAGGGAAGCUGUUAAGCCUGCCGCCUGGGGAGUACGGCCGCAAGGCUGAAACUUAAAUGAAUUGACGGGG